UGGCUGUAAUGAUGGUGGUGCCUGAACAAGGUUUUAGAGAGUGGACACUACCUAAGUACCUUUUUCAGUAGCUUAAGUCUAACUACUAAAUGCUCUUUCAUGGGAUUAUUGUUGAGUUCGAAGAUGAUUCUCAUAUUCUUCUGUAGAGGUCAUCUUUGUUCGGGCCAUUAGAGAAGAUUGAUCAUAGGGUUUUGUGAAAGAG
rnacentral:lncRNA from 1 species